AUGAAAGAACUAAUGGGAGGUAGCUGUCUCCCAGGGUAUUAGUACUAAAUUAGUAAGUAAGUGAAAAUACUUACAGAGAGAAAAUAGACGAGAAGACCCUAGAAGCUUGCUAUUUGUUUUGUUGGGGCGACAGAAUUGCAUUUAAACCAAUUUUAUAGAUGUGACGUAGAGCAGGAAAAUUAAGCUACUCUAGGGAUAACAGCAUAAUAAAAUUUGUUUGUGACCUCGAUGUUGGACUAGGAAGAAUAGUCCUUAGAAGGGACUAAAAAUGCUCUGUUCGAGCAGAUUAACCUACA
rnacentral:rRNA from 1 species